rnacentral:lncRNA from 1 species
GAAUGUCUCAUCGCUGAGGGUAUGACCAUUGAGCUCCAUCUCAUUCUUGAUCUCCGUCAACCUCGAAAAGUAUCCCUCAACUGUCUCUGACUUCUCUAUCGUGGCAAGCUCGAACUUCCUUUUUAGCGCCAUCAAAUUAUUAUUUUUGGACCUUAUCAACUCCACGAUACGCUUUGGCCAAAAUAUCCCAAGCCUGUUUUGUUGUUUGGGCUGUGGAAAUUUUGCCAAACACAGACAUAUCGAUGGCCUGGUGUAUUUGGGACAAGGCCNNNN